UCUAGAACUCCAUUGGACCUUGAAUCAAGGUGGUAGCUUGGAGAUUGAUUUCUCCAUAAAUUCUUCACCCUUUUCUUGGAUUUUCAUCAAUCAAGGUGUAGGUGGAAAUUGAGAGGAGUAAUUGAAGUGAAGCUUGGAUAUUAGCAUUCAUUCAAGCAAGUUGGGGAUGUCCUCAUUAAUUCGGGACAUAUUCAUGUUUAGGUUUUCUUGUUAAAGACAUUGUAUUAGACUUUGUUAUAUCAAUUUUUUUGAUGUACGGGCCGUGAUACAAGAUAUUCAUGUGUCUAAGAUGGAGACAACGAGACUUAUUGUUUCCUAUGUUUUCAAUAAAGAUGUUUUUUGAACUA